rnacentral:sRNA from 1 species
AAUUACGUUGAACUGUGUGAAGAUUUACUACAUUUGUGAAAGUCAUAGGGUUUGAAUGGUAACAUAGUACAGUUUUGUUCAAACUUUAACAGUUAUCAAUCACAAAAACUAUUAAAAACGUUAUAAAAAAUUUUAUUCUCAUCUUUUUUGUACAGCUCUUUCUAACAGCUUUGCACUAUAUUCCGAUAAAGCUAACAACUCUAAUUAACAGUUAAAAAAUUUGUACUGCUUUUGGUUACCAAUCAGAUCCAUAAUUUUUUCUCCGUAUUUGAUUUUGGAUAGAAAUACAACAAAUGACACUGACACAAGUUCU